rnacentral:rRNA from 1 species
UACGUAGGGUGCAAGCGUUGUCCGGAAUUAUUGGGCGUAGAGAGCUCGUAGGCGGUUUGUCGCGUCUGCUGUGAAAAUCCAGGGCUUAACCCUGGACCUGCAGUGGGUACGGGCAGACUAGAGUGCGGUAGGGGAGACUGGAAUUCCUGGUGUAGCGGUGAAAUGCGCAGAUAUCAGGAGGAACACCGGUGGCGAAGGCGGGUCUCUGGGCCGAUACUGACGCUGGAGGAGCGAAAGCGUGGGAGCGAACAGG